AUCCUCCAAGGCUAAAUACUCCUGAUUGACCGAUAGUGAACCAGUACCGUGAGGGAAAGGCGAAAAGAACCCCGGCGAGGGGAGUGAAAAAGAACCUGAAACCGUGUACGUACAAGCAGUAGGAGCCCCAUCACUCAAGUGCCUCGCACUGAGUGAUGCAAGAACAUCACCGAAAAUAGCGCCGAAUUUGCUAACAAGGUUGGUCGAUUUUUUCAAGCCGUCGCGCAGUGUACCUAGAAGUACACGAGCAACGGAAGUUAAAAAAUCGGGCAAGAUUGAACGCAAAGGCAAGCGGGACAUUUGAGGAUGGGGUGACUGCGUACCUUUUGUAUAAUGGGUCAGCGACUUAUAUUCUGUAGCAAGGUUAACCGUAUAGGGGAGCCGUAGGGAAACCGAGUCUUAACUGGGCGAAUGAGUUGCAGGGUAUAGACCC
rnacentral:rRNA from 1 species